rnacentral:rRNA from 1 species
GAUGAACGCUGGCGGCGUGCUUAACACAUGCAAGUCGAACGGGAAAUAUUUCAUUGAGACUUCGGUGGAUUUGAUUUAUUUCUAGUGGCGGACGGGUGAGUAACGCGUGGGUAACCUGCCUUAUACAGGGGGAUAACAGUCAGAAAUGGCUGCUAAUACCGCAUAGCGCACAGAGCUGCAUGGCUCAGUGUGAAAAACUCCGGUGGUAUAAGAUGGACCCGCGUUGGAUUAGCUAGUUGGUGGGGUAACGGCCCACCAAGGCGACGAUCCAUAGCCGGCCUGAGAGGGUGAACGGCCACAUUGGGACUGAGACACGGCCCAGACUCCUACGGGAGGCAGCAGUGGGGAAUAUUGCACAAUGGGGGAAACCCUGAUGCAGCGACGCCGCGUGAGGGAAGAAGUAUCUCGGUAUGUAAACUUCUAUCAGCAGGGAAGAUAGUGACGGUACCUGACGAAGAAGCCCCGGCUAACUACGUG